rnacentral:rRNA from 1 species
AGCGGCGGACGGGUGAGUAAUACUUAGGAAUCUACCUAGUAGUGGGGGAUAGCACGGGGAAACUCGUAUUAAUACCGCAUACGACCUACGGGAGAAAGGGGGCAGUUUACUGCUCUCGCUAUUAGAUGAGCCUAAGUCGGAUUAGCUAGAUGGUGGGGUAAAGGCCUACCAUGGCGACGAUCUGUAGCUGGUCUGAGAGGAUGAUCAGCCACACCGGGACUGAGACACGGCCCGGACUCCUACGGGAGGCAGCAGUGGGGAAUAUUGGACAAUGGGGGAAACCCUGAUCCAGCCAUGCCGCGUGUGUGAAGAAGGCCUUUUGGUUGUAAAGCACUUUAAGCAGUGAAGAAGACUCCAUGGUUAAUACCCAUGGACGAUGACAUUAGCUGCAGAAUAAGCACCGGCUAACUCUGUGCCAGCAGCCGCGGUAAUACAGAGGGUGCAAGCGUUAAUCGGAAUUACUGGGCGUAAAGGGAGCGUAGUGGCUCUAUAAGUCAGAUGUGAAAUCCCCGGGCUUAACCUGGGAACUGCAUCUGAAACUGUAGAGCUAGAGUAUGUGAGAGGAAGGUAGAAUUCCAGGUGUAGCGGUGAAAUGCGUAAGAUCUGGAGGAAUACCGAUGGCAAAGCCUUCUG